CCUUUCAGUUCUCUUGGAACAAGACGGCAGAAAGUCAUUCUGACCGUCGCGCAUACCUUAAGCGGGUCUGCCGCCUUUCGUUUCUCUUUCUUCAGCGAAUGACUUUGACUUGCGCUCGCGCGCCGCAUCGCAGCCUUUGGCUGCUGGCGCUCCGCGGGGGCGCGGCACAAGCCGCGACGGCCGGUCGGCCUUGCGAGACUUGCGUCUCGUUGGCGAGAGCCGAUUUACGGCGCAGUCUAAGGGCUUGUAGCUCAGUUGGUUAGAGCGCGCGCUUGAUAAGCGUGAGGUCGGAGGUUCAAGUCCUCCCAGGCCCACCACUUCCUCGAUACUCAUCGGGAAACACUAUCAGGGGCCGUAGCUCAGCUGGGAGAGCGCCUGCUUUGCAAGCAGGAUGUCGUCGGUUCGAUCCCGUCCGGCUCCACCACUUCUUCUUCGGAUGAGGGGUGUUGAGUGGAAGUGAGGAAAAAGUCAUUCGUAAAAAGAGUUUGCGUCGGGCUUCGUGCUCUGCGCCUGUUCUGUUUGACAUCGUAAAGAGAAGAUUUGUUCGAACUUCAUGAGCCGCAAGGCUUUUGAUUUGUCGCGGGAGACGCUCAAUCUCCCGCAUAUGAUGGGUUUGCCUAACCGCGCCCUCGAACCGAUCUCGAGAAGCUGGUCUUUUUGUGCCAAUGACAUCGAAGCAGGUCCCGCACAGGAUCUGGUUCAGGCGACAAUCCUUCGGAUUGCGCGGACGCUAAACUCGCAAGGGGGAGGCUGAAGCGACAAUCCCUUCGGGAUUGCGCAGAUGGGCAUUGGCAAUGAGAACGAUCAAGUGUCUUAAGGGCAAUUGGUGGAUGCCUUGGCAUGCACAGGCGAUGAAGGACGUGAUACGCUGCGAUAAGCU
rnacentral:tRNA from 1 species